rnacentral:rRNA from 1 species
AUUGAACGCUGGCGGCAUGCUUUACACAUGCAAGUCGAACGGUAACAGGCCGCAAGGUGCUGACGAGUGGCGAACGGGUGAGUAAUGCAUCGGAACGUGCCCAGUCGUGGGGGAUAACGCAGCGAAAGCUGUGCUAAUACCGCAUACGAUCCAUGGAUGAAAGCGGGGGACCGUAAGGCCUCGCGCGAUUGGAGGGGCCGAUGUCAGAUUAGGUAGUUGGUGGGGUGAAGGCCUACCAAGCCGACGAUCUGUAGCUGGUCUGGGAGGACGACCAGCCACACUGGGACUGAGACACGGCCCAGACUCCUACGGGAGGCAGCAGUGGGGAAUUUUGGACAAUGGGCGCAAGCCUGAUCCAGCAAUGCCGCGUGCAGGAAGAAGGCCUUCGGGUUGUAAACUGCUUUUGUACGGAACGAAACGGUCUGGGUUAUUACCCUGGGCUAAUGACGGUACCGUAAGAAUAAGCACCGGCUAACUACGUGCCAGCCGCCGCCGUAACAC